CGAAGGAUCCAAGCGUUGUCCGGAUUUACUGGGUUUAAAGGGUGCGUAGGCGGAGGAUUAAGUCAGUGGUGAAAGCUGGUAGCUUAACUAUCAAAUUGCCAUUGAAACUGAUUUUCUCUGAGUACGAUUGAGGUAGCUGGAAUGUAACAUGUAGCGGUGAAAUGCAUAGAUAUGUUACGGAACACCAAUUGCGAAGGCAGGCUACUAAGUCGUAACUGACGCUGAGGCACGAAAGCGUGGGGAUCAA
rnacentral:rRNA from 1 species